AUUGAACGCUGGCGGCAUGCCAUACACAUGCAAGUCGAACGGCAGCACGGGAGCAAUCCUGGUGGCGAGUGGCGAACGGGUGAGUAAAGUAUCGGAACGUGCCCAGUCGUGGGGGAUAACGUAGCGAAAGUUACGCUAAUACCGCAUACGAUCUAUGGAUGAAAGCGGGGGAUCGCAAGACCUCGCGCGAUUGGAGCGGCCGAUAUCAGAUUAGGUAGUUGGUGGGGUAAAGGCUCACCAAGCCGACGAUCUGUAGCUGGUCUGAGAGGACGACCAGCCACACUGGAACUGAGACACGGCCCAGACUCCUACGGGAGGCAGCAGUGGGGAAUUGUGGACAAUGGGCGAAAGCCUGAUCCAGCCAUGCCGCGUGCAGGAUGAAGGCCUUCGGGUUGUAAACUGCUUUUGUACGGAACGAAAAGGUUUGGCCUAAUAAGCUGAGCUCAUGACGGUACCGUAAGAAUAAGCACCGGCUAACUACGUGCCAGCAGCCGCGGUAA
rnacentral:rRNA from 1 species